GGAAAAUCAAUAUUCCAUUCCAUGUGGACGAAUAACGACCCUCAGUCGAAUUGAUUCUACAUUGGGAAGCUCGUUCCACAUAGUGGUGGUGCGCGGCAAAAUCGGUCUUAGAAACGCUUAGUUAUGGAACGAUAGAGGUCGAGGUGCUACGUCAGUCACCGUGACCACGCACGCUGGAAAACACGCAAAACGUCGGAAAAAA